GAAACACCUUCCUAAUAUUGAGUUGCAGCUCCUUUAGCCCUCAGAACGACCGGGCAUGGACUACAAGGUGUCGAAAGCAACAUGGACUACAAGGUGUCGAAAGCAACAUGGACUACAAGGUGUCAAAAGCAACAUGGACUACAAGGUGUCGAAAGCAACAUGGAUUACAAGGUGUCGAAAGCAACAUGGACUACAAGGUGUCGAAAGCAACAUGGACUACAAGGUGUCGAAAGCAACAUGGACUACAAGGUGUCGAAAGCAACAUGGACUACAAGGUGUCGAAAGCAACAUGGACUACAAGGUGUCGAAAGCAACAUGGACUACAAGGUGUCGAAAGCAACAUGGACUACAAGGUGUCGAAAGCAACAUGGACUACAAGGUGUCGAAAGCAACAUGGACUACAAGGUGUCGAAAGCAACAUGGAAGCAAAGGGAUGCUGGCCCAUGUUGACACCAAUGCUUCCAUACAGUUGUGUCAAGUUGGUUAGAUGUCCUUUUGAUGUCCAUUCUUGAUACACCCAGGAAACUGUUGAGCGUGAAAACCCCAGCGGCGUUGCAGUUCUUGACACACUCAAACCGGUGCACCUGGCACCUACUACC